GACGAACGCUGGCGGCGUGCCUAAUACAUGCAAGUAGAACGCUGAAGAGAGGAGCUUGCUCUUCUUGGAUGAGUUGCGAACGGGUGAGUAACGCGUAGGUAACCUGCCUGGUAGCGGGGGAUAACUAUUGGAAACGAUAGCUAAUACCGCAUAAAAUUGAUUAUUGCAUGAUAAUUAAUUGAAAGAUGCAAUUGCAUCACUACCAGAUGGACCUGCGUUGUAUUAGCUAGUUGGUGAGGUAACGGCUCACCAAGGCGACGAUACAUAGCCGACCUGAGAGGGUGAUCGGCCACACUGGGACUGAGACACGGCCCAGACUCCUACGGGAGGCAGCAGUAGGGAAUCUUCGGCAAUGGGGGGAACCCUGACCGAGCAACGCCGCGUGAGUGAAGAAGGUUUUCGGAUCGUAAAGCUCUGUUGUAAGAGAAGAACGGGUGUGAGAGUGGAAAGUUCACACUGGACGUAUCUACCAG
rnacentral:rRNA from 1 species